GAACGAACGCUGGCGGCAUGCCUAACACAUGCAAGUCGAACGAGACCUUCGGGUCUAGUGGCGCACGGGUGCGUAACGCGUGGGAAUCUGCCCUUGGGUUCGGAAUAACAGUUAGAAAUGACUGCUAAUACCGGAUGAUGUCUUCGGACCAAAGAUUUAUCGCCCAGGGAUGAGCCCGCGUAGGAUUAGCUAGUUGGUGGGGUAAAGGCCUACCAAGGCGACGAUCCUUAGCUGGUCUGAGAGGAUGAUCAGCCACACUGGGACUGAGACACGGCCCAGACUCCUACGGGAGGCAGCAGUGGGGAAUAUUGGACAAUGGGCGAAAGCCUGAUCCAGCAAUGCCGCGUGAGUGAUGAAGGCCUUAGGGUUGUAAAGCUCUUUUACCCGGGAUGAUAAUGACAGUACCGGGAGAAUAAGCCCCGGCUAACUCCGUG
rnacentral:rRNA from 1 species